rnacentral:rRNA from 1 species
UACGGGGGGAGCAAGCGUUGUUCGGAAUCACUGGGCGUAAAGGGCGUGUAGGCGGUCUGUUAAGUCUGAUGUGAAAGCCCGGGGCUCACCCCCGGAAGUGCAUUGGAUACUGGCGGACUCGAGUCUCGGAGAGGAGGGUGGAAUUCCUGGUGUAGCGGUGAAAUGCGUAGAUAUCAGGAGGAACACCGGUGGCGAAGGCGGCCCUCUGGACGAUGACUGACGCUGAGACGCGAAAGCGUGGGGAGCAAACAGG